GGGCCCGCACAAGCGGUGGAGCAUGUGGUUUAAUUCGAUGAUACGCGAGGAACCUUACCAGGGCUUAAAUGCAGAACGACCGGGGUGGAAACACCCCUUUCUUCGGACGGUCUGCAAGGUGCUGCAUGGUUGUCGUCAGCUCGUGCUGUGAAGUGUCGGGUUAAGUCCCAUAACGAGCGCAACCCCUAUUUCUAGUUGCCAGCGGUUCGGCCGGGGACUCUAGAGAAACUGCCAGCGUAAGCUGUGAGGAAGGUGGGGAUGACGUCAAAUCAUCACGGCCCUUACGUCCUGGGCCACACACGUGCUACAAUGGUGGGGACAACGAGUCGCGAACCCGCGAGGGUAAGCUAAUCUUCAAAAAGCUGGUCUAAGUUCGGAUUGCAGUCUGCAACUCGACUGCAUGAAGUCGGAAUCGCUAGUAA
rnacentral:rRNA from 1 species